rnacentral:rRNA from 1 species
AUUGAACGCUGGCGGCAUGCCUUACACAUGCAAGUCGAACGGCAGCACGGGAGCAAUCCUGGUGGCGAGUGGCGAACGGGUGAGUAAUGUAUCGGAACGUACCUUUCAGUGGGGGAUAACGUAGCGAAAGUUACGCUAAUACCGCAUAUUCUGUGAGCAGGAAAGCAGGGGAUCGCAAGACCUUGCGCUGAUUGAGCGGCCGAUAUCAGAUUAGCUAGUUGGUGAGGUAAAGGCUCACCAAGGCGACGAUCUGUAGCGGGUCUGAGAGGAUGAUCCGCCACACUGGAACUGAGACACGGUCCAGACUCCUACGGGAGGCAGCAGUGGGGAAUUUUGGACAAUGGGGGCAACCCUGAUCCAGCCAUGCCGCGUGAGUGAAGAAGGCCUCGGUUGUAAG